CCUACGGGAGGCAGCAGUGGGGAAUAUUGCACAAUGGGCGAAAGCCUGAUGCAGCAACGCCGCGUGAGCGCUGAAGGUCUUCGGGUCGUAAAGCUCUGUCCUAAGGGAAGAAUAUUGACGGUACCUUAGGAGGAAGCCCCGGUUAACUACGUGCCAGCAGCCGGGGUAGUACGUAGGAGGCUAGCGUUAUACGGAAUUACUUGGCGGAAAGGGCACGUAGGCGGCCCUUCAAGUCAGAGGUGAAAGGCUACGGCUCAACCGUCGUAAGCCUUUGAAACUGUAGGGGUUGAGUGCAGGAGAGGAGAGUGGACUUCCCAUUGUAGCGGUGAAAUGCGUAGAUAUUUGGAGGAACAGCAGUUGCGAAGUCGUCGCUCUGGACUGUAACUGACGCUGAGGCACGAAAGCGUGGUGAGCGAACAGGAUUAGAUACCCUUGUAGUC
rnacentral:rRNA from 1 species